CAAGGGUUAUUUUCUUGAACCCAGGAAACUCUAUACAAGACUUUCUGACUUUAUCCCUGAUUCAAGGGUUAUUUUCUUGAACCCAGGAAACUCUAUACAAGACUUUCUGACUUUAUCCCUGAUUCAAGGGUUAUUUUCUCGAACCCAGG